rnacentral:rRNA from 1 species
AUAAGCAACAAAGGGCAGUUGGCGGAUGCCUAGGCUCUCAAUAGCGAUGAAGGACGUGAUAAGCUGCGAUAAGCCAUACUGAGAUGCAAAUAAUCGUUUAAGUAUGGAUUUCCGAAUGGGGUAACCCGGCAUGUUGAAGACAUGUCACCGAAAGGUGCUAACCCGGUGAACUGAAACAUCUAAGUAACCGGAGGAAUAGAAAACAAUUAGUGAUUCCCUAAGUAGCGGCGAGCGAACGGGGAACAGCCCAAACCAACCUUGUUUCGGCAUGGUUGGGGUUGUAGGACAGAAAUAAAUCUAGCAAAGAUCUGCAGAAUAUACCUGGAAAGGUAAGCAAUAUAGGGUGAUAGCCCCGUAUGUAGGUUGGCGUGUGACGUUCUGUAUCCUGAGUAGCGCGGGACAUGUGAAAUCCUGUGUGAAUCCACCAGAACCAUCUGGUAAGGCUAAAUAUAUUGAGAGACCGAUAGCGAACAAGUACCGUGAGGGAAAGGUGAAAAGUACCCUGAACAAGGGAGUGAAAUAGUACCUGAAACCAGCUGUCUACAAGCGGUCGAAGCCUACGGGCGACGGCGUGCCUUUUGCAUAAUGAUCCUACGAGUUACUCCUCUCUAGCAAGGUUAAGGACUUCAGGUCCGGAGCCGAAGCGAAAGCAAGUCUUAAAUAGGCGUAUAGUUAGGGGGGGUAGACGCGAAACCUGGUGAUCUACCCAUGGUCAGGUUGAAGCUUCGGUAAUACGAAGUGGAGGACCGAACCCGGAGAUGUUGAAAAAUCUUGGGAUGARCUGUGGGUAGGGGUGAAAGGCCAAUCAAACCAGGAAAUAGCUCGUUCUCCCCGAAAUGCAUUUAGGUGCAGCGUCGGAAUUUAGUGUCAUAGAGGUAGAGCUACUGAUUGGGCUAGGGGGCUUCACCGCCUGCCAAACCCUAAUAAACUCCGAAUGCUAUGACAUAUAUCCGGCAGUGAGGGCAUGGGUGCUAAGGUCCAUGUCCGAGAGGGAAAGAACCCAGACUAUCUGCUAAGGUCCCCAAAUCGGGGCUAAGUUCAUCUAACGUGGUGCGGCUGCAUUGACAGCUAGGAUGUUGGCUUGGAAGCAGCCAUUCAUUUAACGAGUGCGUAACAGCUCACUAGUCGAGCGGCCGUGCGUGGAUAAUAAUCGGGGAUAAGCCCCGUACCGAAGCAGUAGAUAGAAAUAUGGUAGGGGAGCAUUCAUGCGACACUGAAGGUGUACCGUAAGGUAUGCUGGAGUCUCAUGAAAAGAAAAUGUAGGAAUGAGUAACGAUAAAGUGGGCGAGAAACCCACUCACCGUAAGACUAAGGUUUCCUGAUCAACGCUAAUCGGAUCAGGGUUAGUCGGGACCUAAGGCGAACCCGAAAGGGGUAGUCGAUGGAAAACAGAUUAAUAUUUCUGUACCUGCUACACAUUAAAAGUGACGGAGAUACGUAGUUGUUACGUGCUGACGGAAUAGCACGUUGAGCCUAGCCUUCUGGGCGAAGCGAAACAAUGAAAUAGCUUCCAAGAAAAGCGAGUGUAGCGGCCCGUACCGCAAACCGACACAGGUAGUCGAGGAGAAUAUCCUAAGGUGCUCGAGUGAUUCAUGGUUAAGGAACUAGGCAAAUUAGUCUCGUAACUUCGGGAGAAGAGACGCUCUUAUUUAUAAGAGCCGCAGUGAAUAGGCCCAAGCGACUGUUUAUCAAAAACACAUGGCUUUGCUAAAUCGAAAGAUGACGUAUAAGGCCUGACACCUGCCCGGUGCUGGAAGGUUAAGAGGAGGAGUUAGUUUCGACGAAGCUCUGAAUUGAAGCCCCAGUAAACGGCGGCCGUAACUAUAACGGUCCUAAGGUAGCGAAAUUCCUUGUCGGGUAAGUUCCGACCUGCACGAAUGGUGUAACGAUYUGGGCACUGUCUCARCCAUGAGCUCGGUGAAAUUGUAGUAUCGGUGAAGAUGCCGAUUACCCGCAACGGGACGRAAAGACCCCGUGAACCUUUACUAUAGCUUYRCAUUGWNNUUGRKUAWWUGAUGUGUAGGAUAGGUGGGAGACUUUGAWVBUGYDUCGCUAGGHRUDVKGKAGUCGUCCUUGAAAUACCACCCUUBAWWURKUUGWNWUCUAACCYKUBYRVRNGNNSASWKYRUGNGNUGGGUAGUUUGACUGGGGUGGUCGCCUCCAAAAGAGUAACGGAGGCUUCUAAAGGUACCCUCAGYAYGGUUGGUAAUCRURCGWAGAGUGUAAURGCAUAAGGGUGCUUGACUGMGAGACYKACAAGUCGAVCAGGUASGAAASUAGAGYAUAGUGAUCCGGUGGUUCCGCAUGGAAGGGCCAUCGCUCAAAGGAUAAAAGGUACUCCGGGGAUAACAGGCUGAUCWCYCCCAAGAGCUCAYAUCGACGGRGDGGUUUGGCACCUCGAUGUCGGCUCGUCACAUCCUGGGGCUGGAGAAGGUCCCAAGGGUUGGGCUGUUCGCCCAUUAAAGUGGCACGCGAGCUGGGUUCAGAACGUCGUGAGACAGUUCGGUCUCUAUCUACUGCGGGCGUUAGAAAUUUGAGUGGAUCUGACCCUAGUACGAGAGGACCGGGUUGGACUGACCGCUGGUGCACCAGUUGUUCCGCCAGGAGCAUUGCUGGGUAGCUAUGUCGGGAUGGGAUAAGCGCUGAAAGCAUAUAAGCGCGAAACCCGCCACAAGAUGGGAUUUCUUUAAAGGGCCGUGGGAGAUUACCACGUUGAUAGGUCAUAGGUAGAAGUACAGCAAUGUACGUAGCCGAGUGAUACUAAUUACCCGUAGGCUUGCGCAU